GAUGAAGAACGCAGCGAAAUGCGAUAAGUAAUGUGAAUUGCAGAAUUCAGUGAAUCAUCGAAUCUUUGAACGCACCUUGCGCUCCUUGGUAUUCCGAGGAGCAUGCCUGUUUGAGUAUCAUGAAAUUCUCAACCUUUCUGGCUUUUGCAAGCUAGUUUAGGCUUGGAUUAUGGAAGUUGCUGGCUUUUGAAGUCGGCUCUUCUGAAAUGCAUUAGCAAGAUUCAUUGCUGCUCAUCAUUGGUAUGAUAAUUAUCUAUACCAUUGAGAGUCGGUUUCCUUCAUUGGAGGAUUUUGCUUCUAACUGUCUUACUUAAGACAUCAUUUGACCAUUUUGAUCUCAAAUCAGGUAGGACUACCCGCUGAACUUAAGCAUAUCAAUAAGCGGAGGA
rnacentral:misc_RNA from 1 species